rnacentral:rRNA from 1 species
ACGGAGGAUCCGAGCGUUAUCCGGAUUUACUGGGUUUAAAGGGUGCGUAGGCGGGCUCCUAAGUCAGCGGUGAAAGGCGGCGGCUCAACCGUCGGAAUGCCGUUGAUACUGGGGGCCUUGGAUGCGGUCGAGGCGGGUGGAAUGCCCGGUGUAGCGGUGAAAUGCUUAGAUAUCGGGCAGAACGCCGAUUGCGAAGGCAGCUCGCCAGGCCGUGAUCGACGCUGAGGCACGACAGCGUGGGGAUCGAACAG